AUUGAACGCUGGCGGCAUGCCUUACACAUGCAAGUCGAACGGCAGCACGGGUGCUUGCACCUGGUGGCGAGUGGCGAACGGGUGAGUAAUACAUCGGAACGUACCUUAUCGUGGGGGAUAACGCAGCGAAAGCUGUGCUAAUACCGCAUACGCCCUGAGGGGGAAAGCGGGGGAUCGCAAGACCUCGCGCGAUUAGAGCGGCCGAUGCCUGAUUAGCUUGUUGGUGAGGUAAAAGCCCACCAAGGCGACGAUCAGUAGCUGGUCUGAGAGGACGAUCAGCCACACGGGGACUGAGACACGGCCCAGACUCCUACGGGAGGCAGCAGUGGGGAAUUUUGGACAAUGGGGGCAACCCUGAUCCAGCAAUGCCGCGUGAGUGAAGAAGGCCUUCGGGUUGUAAAGCUCUUUUGUCAGGGAAGAAACACCGGCUCUAACACAGUCCGGGAAUGACGGUACCUGAAGAAUAAGCACCGGCUAACUACGUGCCAGCAGCCGCCGUAA
rnacentral:rRNA from 1 species